rfam:Candidatus Staskawiczbacteria bacterium RIFCSPHIGHO2_02_FTLL_34_10 rifcsphigho2_02_scaffold_59794, whole genome shotgun sequence.
GCCCUCGUGAUGGAAUUGGCAUACAUGUACGCUUGAGGUGCGUAUGCCGCAAGGCUUGUGGGUUCGAAUCCCACCGAGGGCA